CAUCUCUAUCAUCCAAUUAUAGUGUUGGUAUGUGAUAUGGAACGAGACAGUGAGACAUACCAACUAUCUAUAUGAUAUAAAAUAGUAUACCGGACUGUACGACAAACUAUGUUUAGGAGUAACUAUAUAUAUCAGCCAACGAACGGAGGGAAUUGUAAAUGGGGCUCUUCUUGGAGCUCCUGUGCAAUUCGGUGGCGUAUUGUCCAGUGGUCCUCCUGUUGGAUGGGAGAGCUUUGAAGUGAACCUAAGCAGGUACCACGCAACUAAACAAGCUGGAUGGUGGUUGGC
rnacentral:lncRNA from 1 species